rnacentral:tRNA from 1 species
GGAAAGAUGGCUGAGCUGGUCUAAGGCGCACGACUGGAAAUCGUGUGAGCGUUUAUAGCGUUCCGAGGGUUCGAAUCCCUCUCUUUCCG